rnacentral:rRNA from 1 species
UACGGAGGGAGCUAGCGUUGUUCGGAAUUACUGGGCGUAAAGCGCGCGUAGGCGGCUUUGUAAGUUAGAGGUGAAAGCCCGGGGCUCAACCCCGGAACUGCCUUUAAGACUGCAUCGCUUGAAUCCGGGAGAGGUGAGUGGAAUUCCGAGUGUAGAGGUGAAGUUCGUAGAUAUUCGGAAGAACACCAGUGGCGAAGGCGGCUCACUGGACCGGCAUUGACGCUGAGGUGCGAAAGCGUGGGGAGCAAACAGG